UGUUUGAUUUCAAAAUCGGGA
ensembl:piRNA 21ur-14656 ncRNA